rnacentral:rRNA from 1 species
UAUCUCUGUAGAGUCUGCAUAUCAAUAAGCGGAGGAAAAGAAACUAACUAAGGAUUCCCUUAGUAACGGCGAGUGAAGCGGGAAGAGCUCAAAUUUGAAAUCUUCAAGGUUUUACCUUGACGAAUUGUAGUUUAAAGAAGUGUUUUCUGUUGAAGUUUCGGUAAAAGUUCUUCGGAAUAGGACAUCAUAGAGGGUGAGAAUCCCGUAUUUGACCGUUAUUUUCAGCUGUGUGAUACACUUUCAAAGAGUCGGAUUGUUUGGGAAUGCAGUCCAAAAUGGGUGGUAAAUUUCAUCUAAAGCUAAAUAUUGGCGAGAGACCGAUAGCGAACAAGUACCGUGAGGGAAAGAUGAAAAGAACUUUGAAAAGAGAGUUAAACAGUACGUGAAAUUGUCAAAAGGGAAGCGUUUGACACCAGUGUUGUUUUUCUGAAAAUCAAUUAAAGAACUGUUUAUGCUAAGCUGUUUAGACUUUAUCAGCUAUCUGUUUAGUUUUGAGCUUUUCUUUAAUGCACUUUUCAGUUAACAAGUCAACAUCAAUUUCUUUUGCUGUAAAAAAGCUUGAGGAAGGUGGCUUGAGAUUCGUCUUAAGUGUUUAUAGCCUCUUGCCUAUGCAGUCGGAGAGAUUGAGGUCUGCAGCGUAGAUCCUUCGGGGCUAAAUGCAUUUGUGCUAAGUUAUAGCAUUUUAUAGACAACUUGUUGACUAUGAUUUGUCUUGUAGCUUACUCGCUUAUGUUAUUUUACCUACGCUUAGGAUGUUGAUAUGCAUGACUGAUAU